GGACCCGUAGCUCAGUGGUAGAGCAGCACUCUUAUAAGGUGUGGGUCGGAGGUUCGAGUCCUCCCGGGUCCACCA
rnacentral:tRNA from 1 species